UACGUAGGGACCGAGCGUUGUCCGGAAUCAUUGGGCGUAAAGAGCGUGUAGGCGGCUCGCUAAGUCUUGCGUGAAAUCUCGGGGCUCAACCCCGAGCGGUCGUGAGAAACUGGCGGGCUAGAGUGCGGGAGAGGAGAGUGGAAUUCCUGGUGUAGCGGUGAAAUGCGCAGAUAUUAGGAGGAACACCAGUGGCGAAGGCGGCACUCUGGGCCAGUACUGACACUGAGGAGCGAAAGCGUGGGUAGCGAACAGG
rnacentral:rRNA from 1 species